AUGCCCGAGAGAGCCCCCAAACCCACGCUGAUGCCGAAGCUGGCCUCGGUCCCCAACCCAGCCAGUGCAUCCUUUGGGACCCCCUUUGUCGCCAGCCCGGCCAGCGCCUCUUUUGGGGCUCCCUCAGCCCCCAACCCGGCCAGUGCAUCCUUUGGGACCUCCGUGGUCACCAACGUGACCAGCUCAUCCUUUGGCUUCCCGUUAGCCUCCAGCCUGGCCAGCACAUCGUUUGGGACCCCCUUGGUUUCCAGCUCCAACAAAUCUUUUGGGGCCCCUCUGGUCCCCAGUCUGUGCAGCACAUCCUUUGGGAGCCCCUUGGUGCCCAAUCCAACCACUGUGUCCUUUGGGUCCCCUUUGGUCCCAAAUCCAUCCAGCACAUCGUUUGGGAGCCCUUUGGUGCCCAAUCCAUCCAGCACAUCCUUUGGGCCUCCAUUAGUCCCAAAUGCAUCCAGUGCAUCCUUUGGGAACCCCUUGAUCCCCAAUCCAUCUGGCACAUCCUUUGGGUCUCCCUUGGGCCCAAAUCCAUCCAAUGUAUCCUUUGGGUCCCCACUGGUCCCCAAUCCAUCCAGUGCAUCCUUUGGGUCCCCACUGGUUCCCAAUCCAUCCAGUGCAUCCUUUGGGUCCCCACUGGUCCCCAAUCCAUCCAUUGCCUCUUUUGGGUCCCCAUUGGUUCCCAGUCCAUCCAGUGCAUCCUUUGGGAACCCCUUGAUCCCCAACCCAGGCUCAUCCUUUGGGUCCCCCAUGGUCAGCAACCCAGUCCCCACUUCCCUUGGGCAUCCACCAGUCUCUAACAUGCCCGGCUCUUUCUUUGGAUCCCCCUUUGUCCCCAGCCCAGCCAGCGCUCUGCUGGGCACGGGUGCCUAUCCCCUUCCUGGUGGAGAAGUGCCCUGGAGCAAGCCCAGCCCUGAGCCCCCCCUGCCCCGACCUCCCGAGGGCCCGGCUGCUGUGGAGCCCCCAGCCCAGCCCCACCUGGAGGAUGCUCCUCAUUUCCUCAGGAGGACCGACGGCCCCUCGCCGAGUGGGAGGAGCAGGCAAAGCCCCCCCAAGCCCUUCUCCGCCCCCCUGCCCGCCCAGCGGAGGAUGCUGGUGGAUCCCAGCAGCGGCAAGUGUUACUACAUGGAGCCGCCGCGGCAGCCCCAGAUGAAAACGCUCUACGACCCCGAGACCGGGCAGUACCUGGAGGUGCUGGUCCCGCCGGUGGCAUCACACACCGGCCUCUACCAGGCACCUUUCAACCCCCUGCUCAUGGCCCCGGGGGUCUGUGGCCCACCCUACGCCCACUACGGCGGCUUCCCGGGGCUCCCGGCCCCGCCGCCCCCCGCCCCGUCCCCCCCCCCCCCCCCCCCCCCCCCCCCCCCCCCCCCCCCCCCCCCCCCCCCCCCCCCCCCCCCCCCCCCCCCCCCCCCCCCCCCCCCCCCCCCCCCCCCCCCCCCCCCCCCGACACCCCCGGGACCCCCGGCUCGGCUCCCAAGGGCGAGGGGCCGUCCCCCGCCGGGGGUCCCGACUGCGGCUACCUGGAGAGCCUGUACUACAUCCCCACGGGGAUGCGGGCCAGCCCCGGCCCCGAGCAGCCCCCGGGCCGGGCCAGCCCCGCCGCGCCCGAGGGGUCUCUGCUCCGGAUGUGACGGGAUGUCCCCUCCCAUGGCCGGGCUUAGCCCAAAAUCCGCAUCGCCCCUGCCCACGGCUGAGCGGGCAAAGCGCCCGGGGGGAGCGGGCACUGGUUGGACUUCACUGGCUUCUCACAGAAACGGGGACAAAAAGGGGAUUUUCCGCGGCGGGCAGCUGGCAGCCCUAGGGGGACAUGGGGCUGUGGGCCCCCCCCGCGCAGCAAAGGGACCGCACAGUCCCUGA
rnacentral:lncRNA from 1 species